rnacentral:tRNA from 1 species
GGAGUUGUACCCAAGUUUGGCUGAAGGGACCGCACUCGAAAUGCGGCAGGCCGGGCAACCGGCGCGAGAGUUCGAAUCUCUCCAACUCCG